rnacentral:sRNA from 1 species
AAUUUGCUGCGGACAUAUGAAGUGGAUAUGAGAAUCGACGCCGCCGGCGGUGAGUAUUUGUCCCUCACCGGCAAUAAUUUCCGUGCCGGGCCCAAUCGCAAUAGUAACGUCCGAUUGAAUGUCCGGGUUUCCCGCUUUACCGACGGCUUCAAUGCGUCCGUUCUUAAUCGCAACAUCCGCUUUUACGAUACCCCAGUGAUCGAGGAUCAAGGCAUUGGUGAUAACAGUAUCGGGCGUUUCAGCGCGAGGUCUUUGGCUUUGUCCCAUGCCAUCUCG